rnacentral:rRNA from 1 species
ACGGGUGAGUAACACGUGGAUAACCUGCCCUGAAGUCUGGGAUAACAUUUCGAAAAGGAUGCUAAUACCGGAUAAGCCUACGACCUCUUCGGGGGAUGUAGGAAAAGAUUUAUUGCUUCAGGAUGGGUCCGCGGUCCAUUAGCUAGUUGGUAGGGUAAUGGCCUACCAAGGCUACGAUGGAUAGCUGGUCUGAGAGGAUGAUCAGCCACACUGGGACUGAGACACGGCCCAGACUCC